GCCCGAGCGGUUAAGGGGUUUGACUCGAAAUCAAAUGGGCUCAGCCCGCGCAGGUUCGAGUCCUGCUCUGA
rnacentral:ncRNA from 13 species